UACGGGGGGUGCAAGCGUUAUCCGGAUUCACUGGGUUUAAAGGGUGCGUAGGUGGGAAUGUAAGUCAGUGGUGAAAUCUCCGUGCUUAACAUGGAAACUGCCAUUGAUACUAUGUUUCUUGAAUUUUCUGGAGGUCAGCGGAAUAUGUCAUGUAGCGGUGAAAUGCUUAGAUAUGACAUAGAACACCAAUUGCGAAGGCAGCUGACUACAGGGAUAUUGACACUGAGGCACGAAAGCGUGGGGAUCAAACAGG
rnacentral:rRNA from 1 species